rnacentral:ncRNA from 1 species
AAUAAGCUUGGCUCUGACUUACAAAUACAACAUAAAUAAGCGAAUACACAUGGUAUCUAUUGAAAGAGGUGAGGUUAAAGAUGUAAAUAAACAAAUGUAAAAUUUAUUUAUCUUAUUUCUUUAGAAAUAUUAUAACUUAAAUGAUGUUUUGAUAUGUCCCACUAACACCAGUGUUUAAUAUUAAGUAAAAGUAAAAGCUUGUCUUAGAUUAAUUUUAAGGUCUGGUUAACUUGGUGCCAGCAUCCGCGGUUAUACCAAGAUGAUCAAGUUGUAUAAUUUUGGUUAAAAGAUAGUUAAGUAAUAUAAGGAAAAGUUAUAUUAUUAUUUAUUUAGGGGUACAAUCCGAAUAUAAAUAUAAAAUCUUAAAGUAACUUAAAUACUGAAUCUAUGAAAAUUUUGAGGGAAACUAGGAUUAGAUACCCUAUUAUUCUUUAAAGUAAAUAGAAAAUUUCUACCAGAGUACUACGAAUAAAUAAAAUUUAAAACUCAAAGGGCUUGGCGGUGCUUUAGACCACUUAGGGGAACCUGUCUCGUAAUCGACAGUCCACGUUAAACCUUACCUUAGUUUGCUUUCAGUAUGUAUACCGUCGUCGGCAGGUAACUUUUAAGAAAAUAAAAAGUUAGCAAUAUAAAUGAAGUAUAUUAUGACGUCAGAUCAAGGUGCAGCUAAUACAAAGGAGAGGAUGGGUUACAAUUAAUAUUUAUAAUUACGGAUAUUAUAAUUGAAAAUCUAUUUGAAGGAGGACUUAAAAGUAAAUGUUUUUAUAAAAAUAUAUUGAAUUUGGCUCUGAAGCGUGCACACAUCGCCCGUCGCUCUCGUUGAAAAAUGAGAUAAGUCGUAACAUAGUAGGGGUAACGGAAGUUGUUCCUAAAUGAAA